GUCACCAGUGGACUUACAGCGCCCUCUGUUGGCAGCUGUCAGAUCAAGUCUGAGUCAGAUCUGUUUGGUGGACUGAGGUCACCUCCCUGACACCAGGACCAGAACCAUGUGAAAACCCAACGAAGGCCUCGGCUCGGGUGACCCGUAAAAACCACAGAGAAACAGAACAAACUAAACACUUCUUCAAUAAAGAUGUUUUUAAUUCGUUACCUAAUUCUGUCCGUUUCAGGAGGUCCUGAAUCGUUCUGAAGGCAGGAACCGUUUCUGUGGUUCUGAUCCGAUGAGCUCACACUGCCAGCCAAGCAUCAAGACUGAAAACUGAAAGGAAAACUAAAAAUCUGGUUCCCAUCUAAGCUGUCACUGUGGGGGAGGCAGGGAGGAACCUGGACAUGUCUCCUGUCCAUCGCAGGGACACAUGGAGACAAACGAGACAGACGAGCUUUGAUUGUUGAAAAUGUAAGAUAAUAAAAUCUGUUGCAGAAAGAA